AAGAUAUAGAGCAGUAAACAUCCCAGGGAGCUCUACGUUUCCACAGUAUGACUGAUGCUGCACCCAGAAGAGCUUGUUUAAAGUUUGCUUGGGGAUCUUUGCUCCGGAGAUACCCUGGCUGGGCUGAAGGUCAGGAUAAUGGAUUCUUGUAUUAUAGCCCUGCAGUAUGCCUCUUACACUACAAUGAGGAGGUGUCAACAGUGAGCCCUGUGGCUGACAAUUCUGCCAGAGUGCUGGAAACCCUCUGCCCCAUGUCCAAGGAAGAGUGGAGGACAGGCAACAUCAUGCUGUGUACAGAAGCAGACAGAGCAGCACCUUCUUGCUCCAGCCUGCGCGUCAGAGCUGCCAUCCACCUCAUGUGAACACCUACUGGGAAAUUCAGACCACCUAGGGAGGUAGCACAGGAAGCAAGGAG
rnacentral:lncRNA from 1 species